UACGUAGGGGGCAAGCGUUGUCCGGAUUUAUUGGGCGUAAAGCGCGUGUAGGCGGCCACACAGGUCCGCUGUGAAAACUCGGGGCUCAACCUCGAGCUGUCGGUGGAAACCGUGUGGCUAGAGUCCGGAAGAGGAGACUGGAAUUCCCGGUGUAGCGGUGGAAUGCGCAGAUAUCGGGAGGAACACCGGUGGCGAAGGCGGGUCUCUGGGCCGGACCUGACGCUGAGGAGCGAAAGCGUGGGGAGCGAACAGG
rnacentral:rRNA from 1 species